rnacentral:rRNA from 1 species
CACGGAGGGUGCAAGCGUUAAUCGGAAUUACUGGGCGUAAAGCGCACGUAGGUGGUUUGUUAAGUCAGCUGUGAAAUCCCCGGGCUCAACCUGGGCACUGCAGUUGAAACUGGCAAGCUAGAGUAGGGUAGAGGGGUGUGGAAUUCCAGGUGUAGCGGUGAAAUGCGUAGAUAUCUGGAGGAACAUCAGUGGCGAAGGCGACACCCUGGACUCAUACUGACACUGAGGUGCGAAAGCGUGGGGAGCAAACAGG